rnacentral:rRNA from 1 species
AGAGUUUGAUAAUGGCUCAGAAUCAACGCUGGGGGCGUGCCUCACACAUGCAAGUCGAACGAUUAAAGCCCUCUUCGGAGGGUGUAUAAAGUGGCGCACGGGUGAGUAACACGUAAGUAAUCUACCCUCGGGUGGGGAAUAACAACCGGAAACGGUUGCUAAUACCGCAUAAUGCAGCGGCUCCUUAUGGAGACAGUUGUUAAAGGAUUUAUUCGCCUGAGGAGGAGCUUGCGGCAAAUUAGCUAGUUGGUAAGGUAAUGGCUUACCAAGGCUACGAUCUGUAGCCGGUCUAAGAGGACGGUCGGUCACACUGACACUGAAUAACGGGUCAGACUCCUACGGGAGGCAGCAGUCGGGAAUUUUGGGCAAUGGGCGAAAGCCUGACCCAGCAACGCCGCGUGAAGGAUGAAGUAUUUCGGUAUGUAAACUUCGAAAGAAUAGGAAGAAUUAAUGACGGUACUAUUUAUAAGGUCCGGCUAACUACGUGCCAGCAGCCGCGGUAAUACGUAGGGACCAAGCGUUGUUCGGAUUUACUGGGCGUAAAGGGCGCGUAGGCGGCAUGACAAGUCACUUGUGAAAUCUCUGGGCUUAACUCAGAACGGCCAAGUGAUACUGUCGCGCUAGAGUGCAGAAAGGGCAAUCGGAAUUCUUGGUGUAGCGGUGGAAUGCGUAGAUAUCAAAGAGGAACACCUGAGGCGAAGGCGGGUUGCUAGGCUGACACUGACGCUGAGGCCGCGAAAGCCAGGGGA